CUGUCGUCAGCUCGUGUCGUGAGAUGUUGGGUUAAGUCCCGUAACGAGCGCAACCCUUGUCCUUAGUUACCAGCACGUAAUGGUGGGCACUCUAAGGAGACUGCCGGUGACAAACCGGAGGAAGGUGGGGAUGACGUCAAGUCAUCAUGGCCCUUACGGCCUGGGCUACACACGUGCUACAAUGGUCGGUACAGAGGGUUGCCAAGCCGCGAGGUGGAGCUAAUCCCACAAAACCGAUCGUAGUCCGGAUCGCAGUCUGCAACUCGACUGCGUGAAGUCGGAAUCGCUAGUAAUCGCGAAUCAAGAAUGUCGCGGGUGAAUACGUUCCCGGGUCUUGUAACACGCAUCCU
rnacentral:rRNA from 1 species